UGCCAGCCGCCGCGGUAAUACGAAGGGGGCUAGCGUUGUUCGGAAUUACUGGGCGUAAAGCGCACGUAGGCGGACUUUUAAGUCAGAUGUGAAAUCCCGGGGCUCAACCUCGGAACUGCAUUUGAAACUGGAAGUCUGGAGUUCAGGAGAGGUUAGCGGAAUACCGAGUGUAGAGGUGAAAUUCGUAGAUAUUCGGUGGAACACCAGUGGCGAAGGCGGCUAACUGGACUGAUACUGACGCUGAGGUGCGAAAGUGUGGGGAGCAAACAGGAUUAGAUA
rnacentral:rRNA from 1 species